rnacentral:tRNA from 1 species
GCCUGGGUGGCUCAGUUGGUUGAGCGUCUGACUUCGGCUCAGGUCAUGGUCUCAUGUCUUGUGGGUUCAAGCCCCAACUUGGGCU